AGACACAAAAGAAUACAUUUCAUUAGAAACAAUAUUCUACAUAUUCACCAAGACUGACAGUCAAUGUGAUCCUGAUUUUAAUGAGAGCUGGUGGGCUUGGGAGAAAACCCCCUCACAGCCUCCUCUUGCAUGUUCUUUUUGGCUCUGACAACAUAAGCGGAUACAGGCCUAUAGAACAGCAGCUGGUUUGGCAAGUUGCCCUGGUUAGGAAUGUGUGCCUGUUUAGUAAAUGGAGCAGCAGCACAUGAGGCCAGUGGCUACAAAGAGGCUGCAUCAUUUGAAAGAUAAUGAAAGUGGCAAAGCAUCCUGCUGAAUUACAAGGGAAAACUGCUUUUCAAUGCACUUCCAAACUAGAGGAGAUGACUGGUUAGUCACUGAUUUACACGACUAUAAAAGCUGCCAGUGAAUAAAAUAUAACAAAGUGCUGUUUUAUAAAGAAAUCUGACACUGAAAACUAUGAAAAUGUAUGCAAACGAACACAGUGCAGUCACGUUCACUAACCGGAGAGCCGUUACGGUUUUUAAAAACAAGUAAUUUCCCAACAAAUAUUAACGUUAAACACUGUUCACAGAAACAGUUUUAUAGGAGCAAUAGUAGGUAAAAGCCAGACAAAUCUGGUCAAUGAUUAGCGAGCAUGUGGCUGCUUUGUAAGGAGUAUUAAAAGUGGCGCAAAACUGCCCUCAUUUAAAGAAAGAUGACAUGAGUUAACUGAAGCUUACGUUAACGACCGUUUGCCCUCGGAACUGCACCGCAGCUGCUAUUAUUCUUUUACAGAUGCACUGGCAUUGAGGGUUAUUGUGUGCAGGACUGGAUGGAGGGCAAAAGGCGGAGUGGAGGGAUGGUGCUGAGGCUGCUGAAUAAAAACAAUGACAAGCAUAUUGUACAGUAGAGAGCUGAGAUAUGACCUGUAUUUCCUGAGGGCGGCUCAGAAGCGUCGGCCUAACUUCUCUGGCCUAUCCCUACACUCCUCCACCCUGAAGUUGACACCCCAGCUCACAGUGUCGCCUGUCCCAGCAGCACCCACACCCUAGGGCGCUACACGGGGGCGGGGAGCAUCCCAUCCCGACAGCACUCUACAUCUCAGACGUAAACACAGAGCACAAAUGGGCCACGAUAUCGGGUAUCAGGUGUCGGCGUGGAAGAUUUAUAAGGGUCCCUCAGGACUCCUUAAACACGGCCCUGGGUGUCGCUCUGGGGAAACAAACUUGCUGGGGAGAGGAAGGGAAACAGUAGCCUAAUGUGAUCUGAGGACAACAACAACAAUGCCUGGAAAGUUCACCUACAUUCUACUGAAGCUGUUUCCAGUCAUUCAGGAGACCUACAGAUGUCGAGCCUCCACGCCUUUCUAAACAGAAUCCAGCUCUCAAUGGCCGAUUGUGUCUACUCCUGUGAAGUUACGCCUCUGACCUCCUCUCCCUCCACCCACAAAACUGCUGCUUCUGCUACGGCCCAUUUGAUUAUAUACAUAGACACACGUGUGCACGGCCUUUAUAUACAAAACGAAUGUGUGCUGUGUAAAUAUGGAUACACACAGUCACUUAUACACACCAGCAUCCAAGCACGCAUGCAGAACCGUACAGCAGCUUCUUGCUUCUUUUCUUCUGAUGGUACAUCUGCAGCCCAGAUGUGCGCUGUACUCUGAGGUGCUGCUGAGCGCAGGAUGUUUUGCAUUCCCUCUGUGGAACAUGUGAGGCGUUCCUGUGGGCCGUCCGUCUGGCUGCAUUAGUCUGUGUGUCAUGGGGAUCUGUUUGCCUCAGCCCCUAGUUGGCUGGCUCCAGGGGUUUGGGUACGACUGUUAGCAUGCUAAUUCAGGGCAGAUGUGGGGUGCUGAAUCAGGUGGUGAGAGGAAACUCCGGCCCUGGCAGGAGGGAGACACUGGCUGCCCUGUGUGUCAGUCCAACCCUUCAUAACAAAAUGUUCCCAGCCUGACCUUCUCUGCUCCUGCAAUUGUCGCAUCUGAUAUGGAGAAUGAUAUCCUAUGAUGUACUGUAUCUGCCCAAUGAAUGAACUGAGUGUAUACAUUUUUAGUACUGGUGACCCACCCUCCCCAUUUUAUACUUUUGUCUUUGAGCUACAGAACAAAAGAAUGUAUCUCAAGCCCAACCUGUAAUAUUUUGUUAAUUUAAUUGACUGAAGUCCCUCUCUCUGACAAGUUGUGAGUAGUAAAAGCAUACUCCAUUUUGAUGUUGUAAAUAGUUUCUUUCAAAGGAUAUAUGCAGUUUGUUACAACUUGGGUCUUAUUUAAUAGUUUUGGCCAUCAUUUCUAUUUAUAAAAAUAUAUAAGUCACCAGGUUAAUUCAUGAGAUGUGGAAAUGUGAUAGCAUCACUAAUAAUAAGUCAGUUUAAACAAAACUCCAAGUUAGCCAAACUUAUUUGUAAGAGAAAACAAAGCAAAUAGCAAACAUAUGUCACACAAAUAUCCAUACUUCAACAUCUAUCACAUCUUCAUGCCCAGCUUUGUCCUACCGCAGUUAUCAUACUUGUGCAUGAUUUUUUUUUACAUUUUGGGUCACUCACUUUUGGUUUUACCUCCAGAUAAAGUAGUUUAGAAAAUCUGGCUAACUGUUGGCUUGUUCACAACCUGUCGUGUCAUGUUCCCAGAUCUCAGCAGUUACUCUGGUUGUUAGCAUAAUUGAAAUAAAUUAUUAUUAUUAUGUCCAAAAUUAUGGUAAUAAGACCUAAGUUGAAAAAGUAUCUUUUAAUGUUUAAAAACUGAAAUUUGAAAGAAAAGCUUCAAAAUUUAAAUUUUUCCUCUAUGAACUUAAACUACCCGGUAUUAAAUAACUACAGAAUGAGCAGUGAGCAUCAUCCCUGCCUAGCCCCCACUGUUCUUAUAUUAGUCUUGGUAGGUGUGGAAAAUGUGCGGUUAAUGCGGCUCGACAGCUGCACAGGAACCCUUCAGCACAAAUCCCAGGGAGGAAGUCUGAGAAACAUGAAGAGGAUGUGUGUUGGUAUAGUAGAUACUACAGUAUGUGUAACAAUGAAGAAGAUACGUGACUACAUGUAUGCAGCAUGGUGAAACCACGGGCAUACAAGUGUGCAAAUUGCAGUAAGGUUUUCAAAAAUGAAUCUGAAGUUAAAAAGAUGUAUUGCACUGUGCCAGAAGUUAAGGAAAAUGUAAUAAGAAAAUCAAAUUAGUGAGUCCAGUAAGAACCUCAGCAGCCUCCUAGUCCACCGAUGUCAGUUUGGCUCCCAGCAGAAAUGAUCUCCUGUGCCUCUCUUUGGCUGAAGAUACGUCUCUUCUCAACCAGCAUGUCGUGGAGGGGGUGGGAGACGUUCAGGUGCUAACCAACUUGUACAGUAUCCUCUUCUCCGUCACCACCUCCAGAGAGUCCACCUCAACCCAUUCCUCCACUGAGCCGGCCUUUUAACUAGCUUGUUAGCGUCUCUCGCCCUCAUGCUCCGGCCACCAGCACACAGCACACAAGGUAUUUAGCGUAAAGGAGUGAACCACCUCGACACAAGUCCACAAUUCACCAGGCCUCCUCCUAUUGUCCACUUAUACACCCCACAAUGGCAGAGUCAUUGUCACCUGCAGAGAACUUCUGCAGGUGGCAUGACUCCGAGAUGUAGCUGAAGGGUUGGGGUGUGUAGAGUAAUCAGGAAGACGGAGCUCAUCACAGUUCCUGACACACAGUUGCUCAGUCUUACAAACUGUGGCCUGCGAGUCAGGUAAUCCACGUUAUCCAGGACACAAGUGGAGUGUUCACCUGCAUGGCACUGAGCUUGUCUCCCAACAGCAGAGGCUGUAUAGUGUUAAAAGCACUGGAUAAAUUAAAGAACAUGAUCCUCCCAGCCUUGUCCACGUGGGAAUAAGCCUGGGGUAGCAGGUAAAUGAUGGUGUCAUCCACUCUGAUGUUCUCCUGGUAGGCAAACUGCAGGGGGUCCAAUGCUGGUCUGACCAGGGGUUUCAGGUAGGAGUGUGUCUCUCCAGGGUCUUCAUCACGUGGGAUGUCAGGGCUACUGGUCUGUAGUCAUUUAAGACUUUGAGGUGCCCAUUCUUGGGUACCAGGACCAGACAUGAUGUCUUCCACAGUGUGGGGACCUUUUCCAAACUCAGGUUUGAGUUUGGAAAAGGCUCAGGUUGCAGAUGUGUUGCAGGACACAGCUGGUCAGCACAUGCCAUGACAAAACGUCAGGAUAUCUCUGAACCUGCUGCAUUGAUUUUGAAUAUUAUUUUUCUAAUUUGACCAAAGUACCUUAACAUGGAAGUGCCUAAACCUGUCUUCAAAAUACAAUCCAUAUGCAGAGGGUAGACACAAUAAUUGAAACACAUAAUACUGCAAUUAGUUUUUAUUUCCGUGUCAUGACAAACAUUUGGUCCAUCCCACAUGGGAUCACAAAACACCGCUAAAAAUCGAACAUCAAAGAAAUAUCAAAUACAUCUUCUAGUAACAAAUGAAAAGAUUAUAUGUACUAUGAUAUACCUUCACAUACCAUGUUUAUGUGAAAUAUUUCAAAUACACCGAAUAGCAGAUGAAAGAAAGGAAGCGUAAACUGUACAAGCGUAAGGUUUAUCUCCCUAGCCUUCUCCAUGAAAUGUAAAUGUUUUGUACAAGAACAGCCAACUCAGGCAUAAUAGCAGAAACACAGUCCAAAAGAUAAUGCUGCAAUUAAUGGUUUAAAUCCUAAAUUACAUCUUAAGGUGAUAAUGCAGGUGCCAUUUGUUGGACUCCCUGUUUGUAAGUCACUCAUUACCUACUGAUGGACUACCCAUUGCAGUCCAUCUCCCUUAGACCAUCGACUUUAUCUUUGCCUGUCCAUCAGCUCAUCUCAUCUUUGAAACUUUCCCCCCAAAGCUAGUUUCUCUUUUCCAGCCUCAGCUCAGUCCUUGCAGUCUUCUUCCAUGUUCCCCAGCCUCUAUGAUCUAGUUCUGACUCCCUGAAUUAGUCUUCCUCAUGUUUCUCUGCCUGUAUCUCUUUGCCACUGCCUCAUGACUACGCACACAAGUCCACCAGGCCCUCUACCAGUUAAACGUUUUUCGUACCAUUUCUUUAGGCAGUCCUUGCCGUUGGCCGCCGUCUCCACAGCUGGCCAAGAACAGAUUCCAGCCCAAGCAAUUGUGGCCCUCACACCACCUGCUAUAGGGUCAUGGUUAUAGGGUGAGCUUGCUCAGGAUGUGUACUGUGUGUGUGUGAGUAGAGGAUGCUUUAACACACACACACAUGUAACUGACACAGCAUGAGGCUCCAUUGUGUCCUAAUCAGUAUACCAGGAACUGAAUAACCAGUAUGUCCUCCAUCCUUCGCUCCAGUUGACUGAGUAUGACGAGAUAUGGACAGCAAGUGACGGAGAGCUGGAAUUCCCCUUUGAUCAAAGUGUCCGUUAUUCAAUGGGAUGUGGCGUUGCUGGGAGUGUAGAGCGGGAGGAGGCUGCUGGGGCUGAGUGCAGGGAGAGAGUGCUCAAUUGUCUUGUCCCUUUCUUUUUACGGGAUAUACACCCCCACCAAGAAGCCGAUACUGAGGUCGUGACCUUCUGUCCCCCUUUCAGGGCUCAUACUUGAAGGACGCUUUCUGUCAUGUGUAACUGCUGAACAUCCCCCUUUGAGAAACGUAUCAACUCUAACUGUCUUACAGGUUUAGGGGUUGUUGUUUUUUUUUUGGAGUAGAUUAAAGACAAAAACUGACAAGAACUGGACAAAAGACAAAUUGACUGUGUCAGUGUGUUUUAGUUAUGGCAGCAUCUGUUGCUGUGGGUGUGGUGAUGGUUUCUUAAAAAAGGACCACGAGUGUUUUCUGAGAAGAGGAGGGGUGCAGCAGAAGGGGAGCUGUUUGUUUCAAGAGUCUGGUGUUAUUUACUCUAUUGUUUUAUGUGUGUGUACAGCCAAGCCAUCAAAGACUCUUGAGCAGAACAUUUGGUCAUUAACAGAACUGUUGUGUUUGACAGCUGUAUAACAUAUUUUUCUCUUGGAAAUGCUACAUUAAGCAAUAAGUCUGCACAAAAAG